rnacentral:snRNA from 1 species
UCGCCUCAGCGGCACAUGUGCUAAAAUUAGAACGAGACGAAGAAGAUUAGCAUGGUCCCUGCACAAGGAUGACAUACAAAUUCAUGAAGCAUUCCAUAUAUUU